rnacentral:sRNA from 1 species
UUGACAGCCCUGGAGACAGAAGUCCCCUAUCAACAGAAUGAUUACUGCAAUGAGAAGUGGCAAUGUGCAUUUCCUACAAUAGCUUGCCAGUGUGCCAGAGCCCUGACCUAAAGGACCACCUUUAGGCUUGAGAAUAUAGUUUAGUUUCCACAGCUCAUUCACAGCCUAGUCUUAG